ACGGCUCAGUAACACGUGGCUAAUCUGCCCUUAGGACGAGAACAACCCCGGGAAACUGGGGCUAAUUCUCGAUAGGUGAAGAACUCUGGAAUGAGUCUUCGCCCAAAAAGCUUCACGUUAUGCGCGUGAGGUCGCCUAAGGAUGAGGCCGCGACCGAUCAGGUUGUUGGUGAGGUAAUGGCUCACCAAGCCUUUUACCGGUGCGGGCCGUGAGAGCGGGAGCCCGGAGAUGGGCACUGAGACAAGGGCCCAGGCCCUACGGGGCGCAGCAGUCGCGAAAACUUUGCAAUACACGAAAGUGUGACAGGGCUAUCCCGAGUGCCAUCCGCUGAGGAAGGCUUUUACCCAGUCUAGAACGCUGGGGGAAUAAGGAGAGGGCAAGUCUGGUGUCAGCCGCCGCGGUAAUACCAGCUCUCCGAGUGGUGUGGAUGUUUAUUGGGCCUAAAGCAUCCGUAGCUGGCUAAGUUAGUCCCUUGUUAAAUCCACCGAAUUAAUCGUUGGAUUGCGGGGGAUACUGCUUGGCUAGGGGACGAGAGAGGCAGACGGUAUUUCCGGGGUAGGGGUGAAAUCCUAUAAUCCCGGGAAGACCACCAGUGGCGAAGGCUGUCUGCUAGAACGCGCCCGACGGUGAGGGAUGAAAGCUGGGGGAGCGAACCGGAUUAGAUACCCGGGUAGUCCCAGCUGUAAACGAUGCAGGCUAGGUGUUUGGACGGCCACGUGCCGUUCUAGUGCCGCAGGGAAGCUGUUAAGCCUGCCGCCUGGGGAGUACGAUCGCAAGAUUGAAACUUAAAGGAAUUGGCGGGGGAGCAC
rnacentral:rRNA from 1 species